UUGUUUUCAAGUAAGCCUGAAGGACUAGCUGGAUCAGAUUAACUCUAAACACUGCAGGGCUGUGGCCCUCCAGGACCUGAGUUUGACACCCCGUAAUAAACCAUACAGAUUGUUUUCUUUUAAUUAUUAUUAGACAAAAAGUUAUGUUUUUCCCCUCUAUGACUAGAAUGACUGGAGGGCCAGUCUGUCUGUGGUGCAGGCAGAAAAAGCAGAGGACGAACAGCUCAUCAGCGCCCUCCUUCAGGCAGUCCAGCAGCCCCUGCGCAAGCUCUUCAAUGUUCUGUCCUGGGAGGACAGAAAAGGUCCGAAAUAUGGUUUCUGUUCUGUGAUAAUUCACAUUAGAUCAUUAGAAAGUAUUAUUAAUGAAAUGUAUGGGUGUGAUAAAAUGAAUUACAUUUAAUUGUGUUAAUCUUCUUAAUAAUAUUUCUGCUUCUGACAAUCAAAAAUGAUGACAUUGCAAAGAGGGCUGAUGAGCAGAAUGUGAGGGCUUUUUACAAAUAAUUCUAUUCAAAUUGACAUUGCAUAUGUGACAAAUUCUAAUUAAAUAUAUAAUGCAUACUUUUUUAACAUGUCUCAUAUGAACAUUAAUACAGAAUAUGUGUAUUUAAGGCUGUAGAGGAUAAAGCCUGUGCUAAAGCAGGACUGAGUUCUGCCAGCAUGGACUAGGGGGGUAAAGAAGCAGCAAAGGGGAAGAAAGCUGCCGACCUUCCAGUUCCAACCAACGACACCAAUCUCAGUUUUAUUAUGGUUAUACCUUUCAAAUUAUAUUACACAUUGUAUGCAGAAUAUGCAGGCUAGCUCAAACUGGAAGACUAAUGUUAUAUUUGUAUGCAUGCAAAAUCAAAAUGUAAAAUCAUUCCGUAUUAACUUGUCUUGUGUUCAGAAGUAGUGACACUUAAACAAAAGAGGCAGUGGGAGCUAGAUGCAUUCUGGAAACAGCUGGAUCAAGUCUUGAACAGUGGAAAUAUGGGAUCCAGGCACAAUGAUGUUGCCAGGUUGAACUAUAAUGUGAAGAUUCAUGUGCUUCCCCAGGAAGAAGGCAACACUGAAGCAAUGGUGAAUGGAGAACAAGAAGUACACCUUCUUCUACCUGUGAUUCAUUUUUUUCUGUUUAAUAUGUGUUGUGUGUUGAUUGUCAUAAUAUAUCUUAAACCCUUGUUUAAAAAAAAGGGUUGCACAUAUUACAUUACUUUAUCUACCACCACUGUCUAUAGCUGGCAUUUGGAGCUGCUAUAUUUGAGGGGGUGGCAUGUCUUUUAUAUGACAGCGUGGACUAGAGGAGACAGUACAGCCAUUAUCUCAGCUGUAUAAGGUUUAUCCAGGUACCAGAUGCUUGCAGAUCCACCAAGCAGUCCUGUCCGCAGAGCUCCACUGAGGCUGUACAAACCCCAAGGAAGAAAAUUAGCAUCAGAGGUAGACCCAGAGCCAGAGUCUCCUGUUCUGAGCACAGAGGUGGAUUUGAGAUUCUACUGGCCAGGAUUCCUACUGAAAUCACAUCUGUGCCUUUUAUACUGCAUUGCAUGCUAGAGCAGGUGGUGGCUUUAGAACAGGAAGGAUCUGUUGAUUCAGAAGAGGACUGUGAUAAAACACAUCAAGAUCUAAUCAGUUACAUGCUCUCAUCUGUGCUGAGUCUGCCACAGGUUGAAGAAGUGCAAAAUGUCACAGAGUUUCAAAAUCCAAAUCUAAAUAAUUUUGUUUUUAUUAUCUCUGCUUGUGUAAUAGCAGGAUCUCAUGAAUGAUCUUGAGAUGUAGAACAUCUCAAAGAAUACUGAUCAGAAACACCCGCUCCUGCUCAGUCACCAUGAUGAAAGAGCGAGAAGACUCCAUCAGCUUCCUGUCCUAUAUGGUUUUGAUGUCAUCAGAAUUGAAGCAGACAUCAUGAAGAAAAGCCAUGUGUGGACCAACCUAAUGUCCAGAUACGCUGAGAGCCCCAUUGAUAGACUGACCAGAUCACAGGAACUACUGCAUUUCUGCACAGUAGAUGAGAACGGCUGUAUCAAAGGAUCUCAAUCAGAUCCUCCUAAACCCACACCAUGGGACAACCCUGUUGAAUUCACCAAGCGCCUGUACUUGAGCAACAGAAGGACAUCAGGUGUGACGAGAGAGCACAAGAGCAGCCAUAACAUUUUAUUUCAAGUGAUACAAAUACAUUUAAAAUCCAAACAAAUAUUUUUAAAGCAAUGUUGAAGUCUUUUGUUGUACACAUCAGUUUUUAUUAUUUCUUAAGGAUCAGCAAAAAGCAGUGCUGGGACUGAUGCACACAUGGUAUGACUGAAGUUUUAGGGGAAAAAGCAGAA